UCGUGUUCAGGGUGUAGGGCGGCUAGCGUCUCCACCCGGCAAUUGGGAUCUACGAGGCCUUCUCCCCAGCCAAUUUCUGCGGCUCCUGUCGCUGAUCGGUAGAUACGGUAGCAGGGGGUUCUGACCGGCGCUCAUCAUUGGAAGCUCAAUGGCAGGACGCAGUUUUACAGCAGAUACGUCCCACAGCCCAGUGUUAACCACCAGAUGAGGCUGAUAAAAACCAAAGUACAGCUCUGACACGGGACACCCACCCUAAUCAUCAGGGGUGUGGUGGAACAGCCUCAAUUUGUCGGGGCAUGGACUCCACAAGGUGUUGAAAGUGUUCUACAGGGAUUCUGGCCCACGUUGAUUCCAAUGCUUCCUACAGUUGUGUCAAGUUGGCUGGAUAUCCUUUGGGUAGGGGACCGUUCAGCAUGAAAAACCCAGCAGCGUUGCAGUUCUUGACGCACUCAAACCAUUUCGCCUGGCACCUACUACCAUACCCCAUUCAAAGGCACUUCAAUAUUUUUUUGUCCCCAUUCACUCUUUGAAUGGCACACCUAAUUCAUGUCUCAAUUGUCUUGACGAUUGUCUCGAUUUAACUGAGGAAACACUGACAGACCAUCCAUACUACAGCCUACAGAUAAAGGAAGUGUCCAUGCACAACAUUACUGUCUGAUAGGGCUCCUGGAAUGUUUGGGUG
ensembl:lncRNA